AUUGAACGCUGGCGGAAUGUUUUACACAUGCAAGUCGAACGGCAGCACGGACUUCGGUCUGGUGGCGAGUGGCGAACGGGUGAGUAAUGUAUCGGAACGUGCCCAGUCGUGGGGGAUAACGUAGUGAAAAUUACGCUAAUACCGCAUACGAUCUAUGGAUGAAAGCGGGGGAUCGCAAGACCUCGCGCGAUUGGAGCGGCCGAUAUCAGAUUAGGUAGUUGGUGGGGUAAAGGCCCACCAAGCCAACGAUCUGUAGCUGGUCUGAGAGGACGACCAGCCACACUGGAACUGAGACACGGUCCAGACUCCUACGGGAGGCAGCAGUGGGGAAUUUUGGACAAUGGGCGAAAGCCUGAUCCAGCCAUUCCGCGCGCAGGAUGAAGGCCCUCGGGUUGUAAACUGCUUUUGUACAGAACGAAAAGGUUUCUACUAAUACUAGGAGCUCAUGAGGGUACUGUAAGAAUAAGCACCGGCUAACUACGUGCCAGCCGCCGCGGUAA
rnacentral:rRNA from 1 species